rfam:Triticum aestivum genome assembly, contig: Triticum_aestivum_CS42_TGACv1_scaffold_288240_4AL
GCUCGAUUGGUAGAGCACAAGACUCUCAACCUUAUGGACAUGGGUUCAAGCCCCAU